GAGCGCAAACGAGAAAGCUGGAAUCGCAACCAAAAUAAAUUACGGCAAACAAAACUGAGAAAGACGCGGAACAAAAAUAAAAGGUUUCUGAAGAGUAAUAGACUGAUAUUUUGCACGAGUACACGAAUAAUUUGUUUGCCAGUCUAAAAAAAAUUGACUUUUUUAUUUUGAUUUAUCGUUUUUGUUUGAUAUUUCAAAAUUAUUGUAUUAAUAUUUUGGCACAAAAUUGAUUCCAUACACAUGUAGUGUAACAAUAGACAGGUCAAGACGUCGGCACCACCAAAGAAAAAACUCAAAACAUCUAAAACUGGAGGUUGCUUUCUUCCCGAAUGGACAGAAACAUUCAAUGGAAUAAUUAUCGCUUCCAAAAUGGGUGCUGAGUAUGUCAACUGCACAAUUUGUUGUCGAGACGUGAAAGUGUUUGCCUCUGGAAUUCUCAAAUGCAUGUGAAGAAUGGAAACCAGAAAAAGAGACAGCCGUCAAUUAAUUUCUUCACGCAAAAGCCAACAAAGGUUGUACAGAAAUAAACCAGUGCAUAUAUUAGUAGUGAAAGAUAAUAAGAGACAAGACGGAUGGACAACACCAACUUCUGCCAGUGAGCCCUUGCUGAACAAGUUUGGGCUCCAUACCUCUGCACACCACCUUUCUAUGAAGACUUUGGAGAAGCCAGCAACAAAUUAAGGACAUUUCAAUAAUGUACUGGCUGCAUCCUUUACAAACUCACAAUCCCUCUGUAUCUGUCUCUCAACCACUGUAUUAAAAGUUAAGUUAAAGUCCUUCCCGCGCCUACAGUACCUGGUAUUCCUAGGCAGUCUCCCACUCAAGUACUAACCAGGCCCAACUCUGAUGGUGACACAUCGGGCGGCGCCGAUCGCCAUUUCCAUAGCCCUCGGCCUCUCGCCUAUUACAUAGCUAGGUUUACAGUGGGGGGCUAGUCCUCUGGUAACCACGAGAGUUUAACUCCCCAUGCACAUCUGUAUUGCAGCGUGCCUUACCAGAUGAUAGUAGGUACCAUUUUUAUAAUGGUCUUUGGUAUGACCCGACCGUGAAUAGAACUCACGAUCUCUCGAUCGAGAGGUGGACACGCUACCACUAGGCCACAACCACUGUAUUGCCUGUCACUAAAUGACUCACUCACUCCCUCCCUCACUCACUCACUCUCUCUCUCUCUCACUCACACACACACACACACACACACACACACACACACACACAAACACUCUCUCUCUCUCUCUCUCUCUCUCUCUCGUACAUUUAUCUUGGCAUCAGUCUUAUCCCAUUGAAAUGUAGAGGUUUUGAUAGAGUAAUAUCCAUUUGUGUUGUAGUUCUGAUAGCAGUAAGAUCAUUUUGUAUCUCUGGUAAUGUGUAUCUGGUAAUAUGUAUCCAUUUGUGUUCUACUUCUGAUAAGAAUAAGAUAAUUUUAUAUAUUGGUAAUAUGUAUCUGUGGAGUAAAAAUAAUAAUUGGAUUUCAGAUAUCCUUGUUUUAUUAAAAUAUGGAGAUUGACUCUUAAAAUUGGCUAUCUCUCUCUACUGUCUCUCUUCUUCUGUUGUUUGCCUUGUCGCUCUCUGUCUUUCUGGUUUGAUCUGAGCAAUAAACACUGUCAGAAUUUUGGCAAAUGCUGGAGUAAUCUCAAACCUGUUUCACUGUGGAGCUUAUUUGGGGCACAUUGUUAGUGGCAGUUUGCUAUCUUUUUUUUUUUUCUGAAUUUACAGCAAGGAGAUAUGGCAUGUGCCAAGUAGGGAUGACCAUUAUUCUGUAUGUGUGUUUCAAGACUGACUUUUGAGGGCCCCAUGUCUGUAUUUCGCCUAGGGCCCCAAAAUGGCUAGAACCGCCCCGUGUGUGUUAGUCAGUUCAAUGAGUGCUGUAAACAAACCGUUUUUAUGAAGGCACAGAGAAGCUACCAGCUGUAGUCAAUCAUGAUCACUAACAGGAAGUUAAGAGACCUCAGCCUUGGCAAGAUAAAAGACAUUUUGGAAGUUUCAGCACCUCUGAAUUAAUAAUCUAAGUGAGCGUAUGUAAAUGUUUGACCCUGUAUCUAUAAUUUUGACCCUGUGUUGAUUUC